GAUGAACGCUGGCGGCGUGCCUAAUACAUGCAAGUCGAGCGAACGGACGAGAAGCUUGCUUCUCUGAUGUUAGCGGCGGACGGGUGAGUAACACGUGGAUAACCUACCUAUAAGACUGGGAUAACUUCGGGAAACCGGAGCUAAUACCGGAUAAUAUUUUGAACCGCAUGGUUCAAAAGUGAAAGACGGUCUUGCUGUCACUUAUAGAUGGAUCCGCGCUGCAUUAGCUAGUUGGUAAGGUAACGGCUUACCAAGGCAACGAUGCAUAGCCGACCUGAGGGGGUGAUCGGCCACACUGGAACUGAGACACGGUCCAGACUCCUACGGGAGGCAGCAGUAGGGAAUCUUCCGCAAUGGGCGAAAGCCUGACGGAGCAACGCCGCGUGAGUGAUGAAGGUCUUCGGAUCGUAAAACUCUGUCAUUAGGGAAGAACAUAUGUGUAAGUAACUGUGCACAUCUUGACGGUACCUAAUCAGAAAGCCACGGCUAACUACGUG
rnacentral:rRNA from 1 species